CAUCAAGGCAUUCCGCAGUGCCGGUGUUUGAAAUACCUGGGGUAAAUGUAUUGGUUCUGUGUAACAAGGAUUACUGGGAUGUUUUACAUGGUCAAAAGAGUUCUAUUGACCGCAGGACAUUGAUUGGGCUCUUGAAUUCGUCUACUUGCUUCAAUAUGCGAAAACAUGGAGGAAUUGUCUGUUUAAGGACCUGUGGAAUUUCCAGUGAUCUGCAUCAUACAGUCCAAACAAAGCAAGGUGCCAUGGGACUCCAGGGGUCAUUCAAGGUCAAGCUAUCUAUUGAUCAAGUUUGAAGCCAAGAGUUUUCUGGACAAUUUGACAAGCAGUGCAAGGAUGUGGAAGAAACUGCAGGAUGCUAUAUUGAGUGACUUUUCCUUCAAUGAUUUGCCACCAUCUUUGUGGACCGAAGUCCAGAUGGAGUGAACUCCGCCCCUGAUGCCGUGAAUCUCCACCUGAUGCCAUGAAGAGUGUUUUGUGACUGAGAGUGGUAUUGUUUGUCACAUGACUGACAUUCCAGAGAAUCAAACUGUCAGUCCUAAUUUGCUGUUUUCACUCUUCAAGGUUUGAUGGACAGAACUUCCCAGUGACUUCUUCUUUAAUUGUCUCCUCUGUACAUUCUACUCUGCUGCACAGUCCAACUGAAGACUGUAUGGCUGGGACACUGUAGUCUAAUUGUUCCCUGUGCCCUGUAAGGGAGGAAGUUAGGGUCCGAGACCCGUGUUUAUGUUUGUAGCAAAGAUGAAACAGAAUGUAUGGUUUAAGAGACCCUCAAUGAUAUUGCAGACAGAAAUCUAUUGGCAAUAAUUUUCUCAGCAAAAAUCUGGUGAUGUGAGGUUGCAAUGUCAGACUUCCGCUAGAAAUUGUAUUUUUAUUCUGGGGUCUAUAGGAUUUUCCCCCAUAUAUUCUGGAAAAUAAAUAUUUUGAGAACACAUUCUAAUUUUUCGAGAUUUUAUAGGACAGACUUGUUUGAUUUAAUGCUAAAUACGCCCACUCUCAAACACAACUGUCCCAGUAAUCUUGAUUUCAGAAUUUAUGUACAUGUCUGUUUCCACAACCACCAUACAACAAUGCAGCUUGCACUUGACUUAAUAAACUCCGCAAGUAUA